rnacentral:rRNA from 1 species
GACGAAGGGGGCUAGCGUUGUUCGGAAUUACUGGGCGUAAAGCGCGUGUAGGCGGUUGCCCAAGUCGGGUGUGAAAGCCUUGAGCUCAACUCAAGAAAUGCACUCGGUACUGGGUGACUAGAGGACCGGAGAGGAUAGUGGAAUUCCCAGUGUAGUGGUGAAAUACGUAGAGAUUGGGAAGAAUACCAGUGGCGAAGGCGGCUAUCUGGACGGUUUCUGACGCUAAGACGCGAAAGCGUGGGGAGCAAACAGG